rnacentral:tRNA from 1 species
GAAAGGACCAUAAGAACUGCUAACUCAUUAGACCUGAUAUUAACCCCUCAGACCUUUC